UACAGAGGGUGCGAGCGUUGUCCGGAAUCACUGGGCGUAAAGGGCGCGUAGGCGGUCUGGUAAGCGUGUGGUGAAAGCUCGGGGCUCAACCCCGCGUCGGCCAUGCGAACUGCGAGACUGGAGCAUGUCAGAGGCAGGCGGAAUUCCGGGUGUAGCGGUGGAAUGCGUAGAGAUCCGGAAGAACACCGGUGGCGAAGGCGGCCUGCUGGGACAUUGCUGACGCUGAGGCGCGACAGCGUGGGGAGCAAACAGG
rnacentral:rRNA from 1 species